AACUCGUUUGGCGCGUCUUUGAAGAUUCUCAAACCUCCAUCAGCCUUCAGAGUGGUCAACACAGAGGAGGAAACGAGGACGCAAUUGCAUAUGAAGGGCAGCACGUACAACGACGAUAAACAGCUCCUCUGAAAAUAAGAUUAUCUCGAAAUGCAGAUGUCGCAGAGGUCGCGAGACAGAGUAUAGCGAUAAAUAAUAUCGGUUUGUUAUUAGCCUGGUCUUAAUUAAGGAUGUUCGGUAAUAUUGCGGUACACCAAGCCGAGAUUAAUGGCGAUACCUUACGUUACGUUAAUUAACCCCGGUAACACGGUCCACCCUUCGCGAUGAUCGCGUCGCCUACGUUUUCUGCUAAAAAGCUGGCAAGGAUUUACGAGAAUGAGUCGAGAGGAUGAACGGAUAUAAAUUAUGGCCUGAGAAUAACAUCGAUGCUUCGCUCGGCGAUCCGUUAUCUUUCUUUUAUUCGGUCUAGCUUUUCUACGCUUCUUUGAGAGAGACAAGAAGAAAAAAAAAAAAAGAAUAACUUUUCUCUUUGACUUUUUUCCUUUCUCGCCUAUAAAAAUAAUAUAUAAUAUUAGAUCGACAAAAUGAUAGAUCGAGAGAUCAAACGAUUAAAACUUUCGAUGUGUCCUUCGAUCUAAAAAAAAAAAAAAUAUCAGAAAACGCUAUUAAUACUUGUCGAAACUCUGGCGUGACAUUUGUGCCGAUAAAAAAUUUUUUCCUCGCUAAGAAAACUUCUGUCGUCCAUUUUUAACCUUAAAUCUUAAUGAACAAUUAAGAGUGAUCAUCAUUCUUUCUCUAUCUC